rnacentral:rRNA from 1 species
UACCGCUGUCCCACCUUGGGCUGUGAUCUUGUUAGCUCUUGCAAGCUAAGCAUGUUUAGGCUUGGUCAGUACUGGGAUGGCAAACCAGUAGAGAAAACCCAUGGAAAGUGGUGA